GGCCUCUGCCUGGGGUUCUGGAGGGAUAUGUUCUCCACCCCACUUUUCUCCUCCCUUUUGCCCUUCAGACAUGAAGACAUCUUUCAUGACUAGGCUUCCAAGAUCUCUGUUCCUCAAAGUGAGGGAGUGAGACCAAAGGCUCAAGGUGGCACACCUAUCACUCAACCACAGUCCCAUGCUACAUCUCACAGGGUUUUCUUGGCAAGGUUUAAGUAGAGGUGAUGUGCUUUCCCCAUUCUCCCAGUUGAAUCCUGGUCUCCUGGGGUCCCAGUCCAACACUUAAACCACUACUCCCCCCCCCCCCCCACACACACACACCCAGCUCACAAGCAUUAUUAUAUUUCUGCUGAAAAGUCAAGUUGUGUCAUGACAACUUUAUUGAUAUCCCGUCCCAUCUUCACUUGAGGACUCACAACAUAGAUGGCAGCCAUUUGUUGCCACGCAAAUAGCAUGCCUUCCAGUUUUUGUCCCUGGAAACCUUCUGCCUGCUACUUGAAGCUCUUCUCCUGCCUCUAUUGUACUACUUUUAUGUACUUUCACUAUCUUCAACAACCCAGGAGAGUUCCCAAACAUGAUGAUAUGCUAAGACGCAAGAGCUAUGCUCUCAAGAACAUGAUAUGAAUGCUACCAACUAUCAGACUUAAAAGCUUAGAAAUGACAGUACCCAAAAUGAAAAGAAAAUGGCAAAGGAAGAGGAAAUGCCAAAGGAAAAAAAAUCUUCAGGGAUCGGUCCUUCACGUGAUUUCCACAAACUGGUGGUAUUGGGUGCUUGAUGACCAGUGGCUUCUCUGGAGGUCCCUGAGUUCUGUGGUCAGAAUCAUGUUGGCACCUUAUGGUUUGGAGAUGUUCAUCCAACCUUGGUGUUCAGUCCAAGAACGACUUCUUCCUCUCUGAUGCAAAACAUUAUCUUUGUAGAAGUAUGAGUGAUGACUGUUGGCGUAGAAGGCAUGCCCCAUAAUGCUCUGUAGGGACAGGAAGUGCAAAUAAGGUCCAUGGCCGACGCCUUAAUUUGCAUGAAGGAUGGACCAUUUCAACAGCCCAGAGUGAUUUAAGAAAGGCAGUUCUCCAGUUCUGACACAAAGUCGAAACUCUUGAAACACUCCACCAUGGCCUGGGCUUUGCUUCUCCUGGUUUCACUCACAUUCUGCUUGGGUGUCAGUUCUCAGAUCGUGCCCAUCCAGCCAGCUUCCCAGUCAGUAUCCUUGGGGCAAACAGUCAAACUCUCCUGCACUUUCAGCGAUAGCUCAUCAUUCAAGAUCGCGUGGUUCCAGCAAAGACCUGUAUUGGGCCCUCGCUUUGUGCAGUAUACUGGAAGCAGUCGAGGAGAAGGGAUCCCGGAUCGGUUCACGGCUUCCCAGUCUGGGAACACUGGCUACUUAACUAUCACCAACACCCAGGCUGAAGAUGAGGCUGAGUAUUAUUGUGGCAGGUGGAACAACGCUGGUAUCCUUCUGCACAGUGAUCAAAUCUUAUGGGGAAGUGGGAGAAAAACCUUCCAAUGAGAGGUGAACAGAAGAUGUCUAAGAAGAACCUUAGAUGCUUGGAAGAGGCCAAAGGACUGGAAGCUGAGUCCCAAAUAGAGUCUGACUUCUGGCCAAGAAGAACGUCCUGGGAGCAAGAUCUGCUUGACAGUGGAAUCAACUACUUUGGAAGAUGCUCUUCUUCUUUGGGACCUUCCAAACAGAAGAUAGUUGCCCACUUCUUGGGGACCAAUUCCUGAAUUGGCACAGUUCCUCAAGGAAUUUAUGCAUGGUCCUCAUGCAUGGUCAAGAACAUCCUUGCUGAUACAUCCAUCCAGUCCAGACUCAAACUCCUGUAGGCAGAGAUCAAAGUCCUCCAAAAGAGGGUCCUUGUUGAUUGAUGGGCUGGUUUUGAGGGACAUGUCCACUUGGUAUGAUGCCAUGUCCAUUUUUGGUGCCACGGGAUAAGAGAGUGGCUUCAUGCCCACAUGUCCAAUUUGUACUGUGUUGAACAACGGGCAUGGCUAUUUUCAGAGUUUCCUAUUUGUACUUAUUCUUCUAGAGAGAAUAGAGACUGGGUGCCAAUGUUCAUGUUCUCCAUCCUUCCACUGUCACAAGAGGGCACCAGAGGCUGGUUCAUUGAAAAGGGACAAAGGACAUUUCUAGGCUCUGUUGAAAUUCAUGAGAGGUGCAUCUGCAAUGUGGAGUGAAUGUAGUUUAAUACCACUUGGAUCAAUGCUGUGGAAUCAUGGGAGAUGUAGCUUGAUGAGUCCUCACCUCAGAGAAGGAGAAAGAUCUUAUGAAGCAACAUCCCCCAGGAGCGCAUAGCCUGAAGCUGUGAUGGUUCAAGUGGUCUCGAAAUGGCAUUCAAUCUAUAGUGUCAAUGUUGUUUGAAUUGUAUUUAUGGAGUGAGGCAAAGUUGGUCUCGAGAAGAAGGGGCUUUCAUAUGAGACAGUGUCUCCACUGGGAUCCUAUGGGUGUCUUAUACUUUCCUUGUAGAUAUAG